GCGGCCGCGGGGAGCCUGGUGCGCAUGCGCCGAGCUCUUGCGCAGACUCGGGGCGGAGGUUUUGUCAGAAAGGUUGACGCAAUCGCGCAUUUUCGGGGAGGGGACUUGUGGACCCAGAUGAACUCCUGACUCAUCUUCCUUCCCAAAGAUGGUGACAUGGGAAGCGUCCAGCCACCUGUCCAGAUCUGGGUCUCCAGCACCUGCUGUCGCUCUACUGCCAGUUAACUGCAUGUUCUUCUGUGGAUCCUGGCAGGAGAACUGUUUGAAGAUUCUUGCAAAUGUAGCAAAUCUUUUGUUAAAUGAUGAGUGUGUCAGUUCAUUUAUAACAGAGACAUCAACAAUCUAAAUCAAGGCAUAACAUUGGACAAAGGGGCCUUCUCAUUUGUUUCUGCCACUCGGAUUCUAUUAUUUUCAACAAUAAAACUAAGAAUGC